rnacentral:rRNA from 1 species
CCUACGGGAGGCAGCAGUGAGGAAUAUUGGUCAAUGGCCGAGAGGCUGAACCAGCCAAGUCGCGGGAGGGAAGACGGCCCGACGGGUUGUAAACCUCUUUUGUCGGGGAGCAAAGAGAGGCACGUGUGACGCAGUGAGAGUACCCGAAGAAAAAGCAACGGCUAACUCCGUGCCAGCAGCCGCGGUAAUACGGAGGAUGCGAGCGUUAUCCGGAUUUAUUGGGUUUAAAGGGUGCGCCGGCGGAGGUGCAAGUCAGCGGUCAAAUUGCGGGGCUCAACCCCGUACUGCCGUUGAAACUGCCUCCCUUGAGUGCGCGAGAAGUAUGCUGCAUGCGUGGUGUAGCGGU